rnacentral:rRNA from 1 species
GACGGAGGAUGCAAGUGUUAUCCGGAAUCACUGGGCGUAAAGCGUCUGUAGGUGGUUUAAAAAGUCCACUGUUAAAGGAUUGAAGCUUAACUUCAAAAAUGCCGUGGAAACUUUUAAACUUGAGUAUGAUAGGGGUAGAGGGAAUUUCCAGUGGAGCGGUGAAAUGCGUAGAUAUUGGAAAGACCACCAAUGGCGAAGGCACUCUACUGGGCCAUUACUGACACUGAGAGACGAAAAGCUAGGGGGAGCAAAAUGGG